rnacentral:miRNA from 1 species
GUGUGCGGAAACGCUUCUGCUC